AGGAGUAUAGAAUAAGAAAGUUCAGUUCCUUGUCGCGGAAUUGGUGCCCGUAAGACGGUUGCUCCUC
rnacentral:tRNA from 1 species